GAUGAACGCUGGCGGCGUGCCUAAUACAUGCAAGUCGAGCGAACAGACGAGGAGCUUGCUCCUCUGACGUUAGCGGCGGACGGGUGAGUAACACGUGGAUAACCUACCUAUAAGACUGGGAUAACUUCGGGAAACCGGAGCUAAUACCGGAUAAUAUAUUGAACCGCAUGGUUCAAUAGUGAAAGACGGUUUUGCUGUCACUUAUAGAUGGAUCCGCGCCGCAUUAGCUAGUUGGUAAGGUAACGGCUUACCAAGGCAACGAUGCGUAGCCGACCUGAGAGGGUGAUCGGCCACACUGGAACUGCGACACGGUCCAGACUCCUACGGGAGGCAGCAGUAGGGAGUCUUCCGCAAUGGGCGAAAGCCUGACGGAGCAACGCCGCGUGAGUGAUGAAGGUCUUCGGAUCGUAAAACUCUGUUAUUAGGGAAGAACAAAUGUGUAAGUAACUAUGCACGUCUUGACGGUACCUAAUCAGAAAGCCACGGCUAACUACGUG
rnacentral:rRNA from 1 species